UCGAGAGGAGGUACACUGAAGCAGCAACCUUCUUCUUAUUCCACCCCUUCUGCUGACGAGGCCAUCCAGCGCUUGACACAGCUACUAGAGCAACGUGACCAGGAAAACCGUGCAUUGAGAGAAGAAUACACUGACUUGAGAGACGAGUUUUCAAGCUUCAAGUACCUGGUCAUGAGAGCGCUGCCUUAAACUUCAGACACUCCUUCCACUGUCCCUCCGACCCAGCCACGACCCUCCCCGUCACCCGCCGUCCCUCAUCAGCCCAGAUCAGUCCAGCCCACACCAUUCCAACCAUCUACAGAUGAGCAGGACGAUGAAGAUACACUACAAGAAAAAACCUAUUUAUAUACAGAUUAUUAUAUACAGAUUUGGAUCUGUAUAUAAUAAAACUGUUACCUACCGAUAUUUUAUACGGCUGCUAAAAAAAAAAAUAAAAAAAAGUUAAAAGAUUUUAACACUAAGUGAAAUGCAAAGAAUUGGAAAGAUCUUAGAGUCAUUCUACAACUUUCCCUCCUCUCAGCUUUCCUUCUCAUCUUUCCCUCUUAUCUCUUUCCUAAUCACAAAUCGUCAUCAAGCCAUUAUUCAUUGUCUCUUCUUCUCAUCGAACUGUUCUUCUGGAGCAUUUUCCCUCCAUCAUCUUCGUCGAUCUAUCAGCCUCUUGUCGAACCAUUUAUGGAGUUCUCAUCCUGCGACCAUGGAACUUUUGUUGUCAUCUUCAUCAUUUUCUCUCUCGAGCGCUUCUCAGCCAUCCACAUUUUCUUCAGAGAUUCACAGAAGCUUCUAUCAAGUGGCCGCAAAAUCAAUCACACCCAACGGCGUUUCGGUGCUCCUCGCCAACCCUUCCCUAGAUUCUUUGUUGUUCAAAUAGUUGAUCUCAAGCCCAGCGGAAACAAAUACAUCUUGCUAAAAUAAUGAUUCAGGUUUACUCAAAGGUGAGUGGAGAAAAAACUCCUGAAACCCCAACCAUUUAUGUGAGCUCAAAAGAAUUUUAUGGUGAGGGAUAUGAUGACAGUGACAAGAGAAUUCCUGACAUUACCAUAAUAAACAAGCAGCUUGGUAAGUUUCGUCACUUUCUCACUCUAUUUGACCUUCUAAGAAUAUAUCUUACUUGACCUGAUUGAUAAUUUUCCAAGUUGGAAUCCUAAGACUUCGCUCUUCGACUUGCUGGAAUCCACUCUGACCUAUCAGCAUAGGACAUAUGCUGAAGCCAUCAAGAAAGUAAUUGCACAACCCGUUGCAGGUUAAGCUUUUACAGGGAUGGUGAUUUGUUAUCUUGGAGAAGGGUGUCGUUGCGUAAGUUUCUGCCAUAUUUCACUGGUUGAUUUUAUAUAAAUGGUAAAUUUUCUUCCUUUUGGUUUCCUUAGCCAACAGUAGGCAAUAACUCACAUAAGUCAUUGUCUUAAUGUAUGUUCUGGAGAAGUAGGAAUUUAUAUAUAGGGAAAUCUAUGUUGCUGUGUAAUUUUAAUGUAUACUUUGCGUUACUAAACAUCUUGAGGCAUUUUAUAAUAUUAGAGAAGAUG